AUUGAACGCUGGCGGCAGGCCUAACACAUGCAAGUCGAACGAGUGGCGGACGGGUGAUUAAUGUCUGGGAAACUGCCUGAUGGAGGGGGAUAACUACUGGCAACGGUAGCUAAUACCGCAUACCAUCGGAUGUGCCCAGAUGGGAUUGGCUAGUAGGUGGGGUAACGGCUCACCUAGGUGACGAUCCCUAGCUGGUCUGAGAGGAUGACCAGCAACACUGGAACUGAGACACGGUCCAGACUCCGACGGGAGGCAGCAGUGGGGAAUAUUGCACAAUGGGCGGAAGCCUGAUGCAGCCAUGCCGCGUGUAUGAAGAAGGCCUUCGGGUUGUAAAGUACUUUCAGCGUGGAGGCGUUACCCGCAGAAGAAGCACCGGCUAACUCCGUGCCAGCAGCCGCGGUAAUAC
rnacentral:rRNA from 1 species